rnacentral:lncRNA from 1 species
GUGGAUACUGCAUGACUGGAGUGAUGAAGACUGCGUGAAAAUACUUAGACGAUGCAGACAAGCAAUUAUGAGUAAGGGACAGCAGAAAGCUGGGAAGGUGAUAAUUAUAGAUAUGGUGAGAGAGAACCUGAAUGGAGACGAGGGGUCAAUUGAAACGCAGCUGUUUUUUGAUCUACAAAUGAUGGUUGAGGCUGGUGGCAUGGAGAUAAAUGAAAAGGAGUGGGCUAAGCUCUUCUUUGAUGCUGGUUUCCUCAAUUAUAAGAUACACCCUGUGCUAGUCACAAGAGCUCUCAUUGAGCUUUAUCCUUGAUAAGAUCUUAGUAAUGUUUUGCUUUUGUUAUGCUUAAGUGUGAAAAUUCAUGAUAUUAUGGUUUUGUCCAAAAUAAUGUUUAUGUGUAAAAUAAUAAAGUUGAUGUUGCUGUUGCUGCUGCUUGCUACUGUUUUCGUCGUCGUUAUAAUAAAAAUUUUAUCCUUAAUAUUUCAUUGCUCCUCACUUAAUACAAUUAAGAUGUUUAAAAUAUAUUUUUUAAGAUUCCAACACCAACAUUUUAUUUAGACUCUUAAUAAAAUAGAGUCUAAACUCUAGAGUAGGAGGAAAAACAAAAUUCAAAAAGUGCAGAGAUAACUUUAAAACUAAGGUGAGAAAAAAUAUAUAUAAUCAGGAUAAAUAAUGCAAGAAACUCUUCAUUCAUCUUUUUUUUAUAAUGAAUUUUAAAAUUAAAAUUGAUAAAAAAAAUUAAUAAUGAUGAUUACUAGAAUUGAUUUCUAUCAUUAUUAACUUUGAUUAACCGUCAUAAGAUCAAAAUUACAUAUGAAUGUUUUGGCUGGUUUCCUCAAUUAUAAGAUACACCCUGUGCUAGGCACAAGAGCUCUCAUUGAGCUUUAUCCAUGAUAAGAUACACCCUGUGCUUUUAUUAUACCAGUGUUGUUUUAUUUUGCUAAGAGUUUUUGGUUUAUGCUAUGAUUGGAUAUAUGUUUAUGAUAUUUUUGACUUUGAUGUAAAUGAAUAUUUAAUUAUGAAUACUUUCAACUCUAACAUUGAUAAAUAUUACACAAUUAAAAAAAUAUAUGGUAUUCAUGGUUCUAGCAUCAGUAAACAAACUAAUAAAAUAAAUUUAAAUCAAUGCAUACAUAAUUUUUAAACUAAUAAAAUAUAUGCCUAUUUAACUUGUUUUUCUCAUAUAUAUUUUAAAAUCCUAUGGCUGUUAUCAUUUAAGCAUUUAAUUUUCCUUCUCAAAAACGUAAAAAACAAGUUACUAUCUUGAAAGAAUAAAAUAACAUAGAAAUAUGUAUACUGCAAAUCUUCAUAGCUUAUCCAUUCAGGAAGUUAGAUCGACAGAAUUGAAUCAAAUUAAACAACGUUCCAAACGUGCAUAGCCGGCUUAGCAUGAAUGAAGGAAUUGAUGAAAACUACAAGUGAAAUCUUUUAAAAUACUUAAAUAUAUAUAUAUAUAUAUAUAUAUAUAUAUAUAUAUAUAUAUAUAUAUAACGAGUAAGAUCUUGAACAAUUUUUAUUUUAUAUUUGAUUUUUUUUUAAGUAUAGACAAUCUUAAUUUCAUAAUGCUGACAAAUAUUUCUUAUUUAAUUUUGAAGCUUUUGUUAAAUGAAAAUCUUGAAUCAUUGUCCAAGUAAACCUUAAUUUUAAGUCUGCUUUUGAAAUACAUUCUAUUUAUGUCACUUUACACUUUAAUAUGAUUAUGAGAGGGAGAGACCUCACAUUUAAUCCCUAACAUAUUAUAUAGUUAUCAAUUCACUCUCAAACUUUAGGAUUCAAGUUAUAAAUUACACAAUAUAUUAAUGUUAAAUUGAGAAAUAAGUUUCCUAACUUUUAACUCCUUUUCCACCAAGUUUGAAAUCCAAAAUCCAAAGUGCAAUUGCCAGGUUUCACCCACCGUCCAUCACUCCAUCUUUUUUUCAUUGUUGUGCUUGUUUUAUAGUUUGAUAAAAUCUAAGAACAAAAUUAAAUACUGUAUUUUUUUCAAAGACGAACGCCUCUUUUCCCUAUUGAAAGACAAGAGGUUACAAAGAUGAGAGAAUGUUGUGGAUAUGAUAAAACAUAAAAAAAAGUAGAGAAAAGAAAAGGGGUUUUGCUCUAACAAAGUUACAGAUAUUGAAGAUCUUCACAGCUCAAUAAUGACUACACCCUUUUGCAUGUUUUUGUGGAGUUAAAAUGUAUUAUAAGAUUAUGGAUAUCGUUUUCAAAGGAGAUUAUGCAUAUCUUCUACUUGUUUUACAUUAAAUUCAUGUGCGUUGAGAGAGCAUGUAUGCUACUUUAAAAAAAAAAAAAAAAAACAGCACCUGAGGAAAUCUUUUAAGCCAUAUGUAGUUGCUGUUAACCGGUGAAUUUAUGACCCCAAAAAAUUGUUAUAAAAAUCAAGCAAUGGAUAUUUUUUUGGUUUUGAUGAAAGAAAGUAUCUUUUGAAGAAAAAAAAUAAAAACUAAUUAUCAAUAUAAUUAAAAAACGUGGGGUGUAAACAUUGUUUAAUCAACAGUGAAUCAUCUAAAGGUUUUUAAUUUUUUUUUUCAUUUGUCUUUUUUUUUAACCCGAUUAUUUUAUAUCAGGUUGAUCCUUUAAUGGAUAGCGAAUCAUCUAAAAACUUGGGGUGUAAACAUUGUUUAAUCAACACCUUUUGUGCUCGACCCAGUUCUGACAAAACCAUGGGAUUGCUUGAGCACUUGGUUCCGAAAUGAUGAUAGCAAUGCAUUUAGUGUUGCCCAUGAAAAUACAAUAUGGGAGUACGCUGGCCAAGAUCCAAGAAUCAACAAUCUCUUUAAUGAUGCCAUGGCUGGAGAUAGCAUGCUCGUUAGCAAGGUGGUUGUGAGCAAAUGUAAAGGCAUCUUCGAUGGAUGUCGGGGGAGGCUCAGGGACUACGGCCAAGGGCAUUGCUGAAGCAUUUCCCCACAUGGACUGCACUGUGUUUGAUCUCACCCAUGUGGUUUCUGACUUGCAAGGCAGCAUGGGGACAGGGUUGGCCAUGAUAAUUCAUACCGAAUUUAAAUAUGAGAAGUGAUAGCAUGGGGACAGGGUUAGGUAUGAGGUGAUAGACCACUAGAAUUAUAUUAUUAUUAUUUAUCAUAAAAAUCUUCGACACAAAUUAUUUGUUGUCUUAUCAUUCGUUUUCCAAUGUCUUGAUAAAAUCAUGUUCUUUUAAGUACAUGCAAGCUUAAUAAUCUUGGAAUUCGGUAUGGAGUGCAAGCGAAUCGAGCUGAAUCAAUACAAAAUUAAUUAUGUGAAACUUCAAAAAAAAAAAUUACAUCAAAAUAUUCAAUUUUGUACUUGAAACCCAGGAAACAAAGCCCAUUUGAAGAAACAAAAAACUGAAAAUACCAAGCACACAACAUGUUGCACUGUGAAAACAGAUUCCUGUAAUGGAAUUUUACCUUUCAUUUUUUUUUUUUUUUGGAUAAAGUUGAGAAAUUAAGUCUUCUCCGAGGGUAGAGUACGUUUCACUACUAUAAAUAGGAAGAGAGAUCUCUCGAGGUAUCACAACAUGCACUAGCAUAUAUACUAUACUUAAAAAUCAAUGGAGUUGAUUAACGAGGAAAGUGCUGGUGAGCUGCUUCAAGCUCAAACUCAUGUGUGGAAUCAUAUAUUCAGCUUCAUGAACUCCAUGACUCUGAAAUGUGCUGUUCAACUAGGCAUACCAGAUGUGAUCCAAAAACAUGGCAAACCCAUGACCCUCUCGGAGCUUGUUUCUGCCCUGCCGAUCCAUCCAUCAAAAGCUCAAUAUGUCCACCGCCUUAUGCGUAUUCUCGUGCACUCCGGUUUCUUUUCCCAGCAAAAUCUUAACAACGUUGACAACCAAGAAGCCUAUUCCCUUACCCAAUCCACUCGUCUCCUCCUCAAGGACAAUCCGUGGAGUAUGAGACCUCUUUUACUUUUUUUUCUCGAUGCAGUUCUGACAAAACCAUGGGAUUGCUUGAGCACUUGGUUCCAAAAUGAUGACCGCAAUGCAUUUAGUGUUGUCCAUGAAAAAACAUUUUGGGAGUACGCUGGCCAAGAUCCAAGAAUCAACAAUCUCUUUAAUGAAGCCAUGGCUAGAGAUAGCAUACUGGCUAGUAAGUUGGUUGUAAGCAAAUAUAAAGGCAUCUUUGAUGGGGUGGAUUCUCUGGUGGAUGUCGGGGGAGGCUUAGGAACUAUGGCCAAGGGCAUUGCUGAAGCAUUUCCCCUCAUGGACUGCACCGUCUUUGAUCUCCCCCAUGUGGUUUCUGACUUGCAAGGCAGCAAAAAUUUGAAGUAUGUGGGGGGGGAUAUGUUCGAGGCAGUUCCUGCAGCAGAAGCAAUUUUACUCAAGGUAAAUUAAUUUCAACAAUAUUCUUCUACCAACACUAUAUAUUAAAUUUGUAUAUAUAUAUAUAUAAACGUCUUUCAUAAUUAGUUUUCGUUUGAGAGGUGCUUAUUCACACGUCCAUCCUUGGGCUUAUAUUUUGACACAUGCAUAUGAAGAUUUAUAUUCAAAGAUGGACAUCAUCUCUAACCCAAAAAUCUACACUACGGAGUUUAUAUAUAUAUGCAUCUUAUGUUUUGUAUUUCCUUUAGGAUUUUUUUCCCGUCUUCAUUUAUUCAUGCAACAUAUCUUAUGGCAAAUGACAAACAGUGGAUAAUGCAUGACUGGAGUGACGAGGACUGCGUGAAAAUACUUAAGCGAUGCAUACAAGCAAUUACGAGCAAGGGGAAUAAGAAAGCUGGGAAGGUGAUAAUUAUAGAUAUGGUGAGAGAGAACCGGAAUGGAGACGAGGGGUCACUUGAAACGCAGUUGUUUUGUGAUCUACAACUGAUGGUGGCUUUUAGUGGCAUGGAGAGAAAUGAAAAGGAGUGGGCUAAGCUCUUCUUUGAUGCUGGUUUCCUCAAUUAUAAGAUACACCCUGUGCUAGACACAAGAGCUCUCAUUGAGCUUUAUCCUUGAUAAGAUCUUAGUAAUGUUUUGCUUUUGUUAUGAAAAUUCAUGAUAGUAUGGUUUUGUGAAAAUUCAUGAUAGUAUGGUUUUGUGAAAAUUCAUGAUAUUAUGGUUUUGUCCAAAAUAAUGUUUAUGUGUAAAAUAAUAAAGUUGUUGUUGCUGCUGCUUGCUAUUGUUAUUGUCGUUGUCAUAAUAAAUUUUAUAUCCUUAAUGUUUCAUUGCUCCUCACUUAAUACAAUUAAGAUGUUUAUAAUAUAUUUUUUAAGAUUUCAAAAACAACAUUUUAUUUGGACUUAAUUAUUUCUGAAUAAAAUUGAGUCUAAACUCUAGAUUAGGAGGAAAAACAAAGUUCAAAAAGUGCAGAAAUAACUUUAUCAUCACAAGGUCCUAUAUAUAUAUAUAUAUAUAUAUACACUACAAAUAAGUUCAAUAUAGCCCACAUAUCAUAUCAUAAAUUUUAAAAGAAAAAUGAAUGCUAACAUACAAAGAGAGCAUUUACAACAUAAUAAGUGUUCUUAAACAUUUUAAAAGGGUUGAUUACAAGAUAACUAAAGUACUACAUGUUAAGCUUAACUUUUAUAAAUACAUCAAGGUUUACAUCAAAGCAUGCUACGUAAACAUGUUAAUUCUAUUUUGUUUAAGUUAAAUAUUUACAUAAGUUUGACAAAGUAGAGUCCUAAACUAAUGAUCUCCCUGGAUAUUUGAUGAACCUGUUACAUAAAUAAACAUAUCAUUAUAUUGAUAAAAGAAAUAUAUAUAUAUAUAUAUAUAUAUAUAUAUAUGCUCAUGUAAUGUAUACGAAUGAAGUAUAAUUUUCUAUCGGAUCCAUAAGAAUUCUAACAAACAACUUAUAUUUUGCUUGUAAAUCAUUUAAACCCAGUUAACACUCAUUUGCAUAUUUUUAAUUUGAAUACUCUUAUUUACUUGCAUAAACCGGGUGACCUUGCGAAGUCCAACCUGGAUAUUUUUAGGCAAUUAUAUUUAUCAAUUUUCCCAGGUCAUUCAAACACGGAUACUCUUUACAAAUCGAGUUUUAUCAAUCGUUCCUAGGCAUCCCAACACGGACAUCAUUAGCCCAAGCUAUCCUUCUAAAAUUCAUUUCUCGACAAUCUUAUCACGGAUGCCAUUAGCCGUAGUUAAUCUUGUAAUUCAUUUCCCGGCAAUCCUAUCACGGAUGUCAUUAUCCGUAGUUAAGCUAAUCUUGUAUAUACGCUAGAUUUUAUUUAUAUUAAACACAAUAUUAAUUGUAAUUGCAUUCACGAGAAGAAUUUUAAAUUGUAUGAGUGCAAAUAGAAGGGAAAAUCAUGCACCUGCUCCGCUUGUCUCGUGACCUCCCCUAACAGAAGAUUAAAUCUUGGUUACUCCUCCUGAAUCACAAGGAAGUUUUUGGUUAUAAUUCCUUCAAGCCGAUAUUAUAGAGAAUCCAUAUUCAUUCAUUACUCAUAUAUUACUUUCUAUGCAUGUUCAUUUCCUCAUAAUAACAUACAUACAUAUAUCAUGUAUAUUUUCAGAGUUAGUAUCUCAAUGUGCAAGUGUUUGUAUGAAUCAAUUCUUUUAUAUUCUUACAUAUAGUAUUCACAUGAAAGUCUAACUAUUACUAUCUAACUUUGAACUGUUAUCGUCCAAUGGUUACUGUCUAGACAUUGAACUGUUAGUGUCCAACAGUUACUGUCUAGAUAUUGAAUUGUUAAUGUCUGAACACUCCUCAGAUUGUUAUCUAUAUCUAGAGUUCUAGAACUCCAUUUCAAGUGAGAUUGAUCUCGUUGGAAAACUAAGACACGAGGCUACAAGUUCUCUAAGGAAGGAUAACCCAAUCCUGCCUCCAAGAUAGUCAAAAUUGCUCAUCAACUAAUCAGUCUCACUGCUCUACAGAAUUAGUCAUGACUCAAUAUUGGUUGGUGACCCAUAACUGGAAUUCUACAACUUCAAAUUGAGCAAGACUAGUUUUCUUAGUUAACUAACAUCCAAAACUACAAUUUCUAUAUAGGAACCCAAUCCUAAUUCCCUCAUCCUCCUAUCCGAAAUCUCACCGAAAGUCAGGAGACAAAUCUGUCCAGAUUCAUCACUCCUUCCCUUCACACAAUAUUUUCACAAAUUAUAUUUUCUAGGUAAAUUAUUUGGGUUUCACGUCCCCAUCACAUAUGGCGACACGUGGCGGGUUUGGUGUGGCAAUACAACGCUAAUGACAUUUUAUUCCCCCCCUUUUUUCUCUCCUCUUCGCUCGAAAUUAUGCUAGCCAUGCAAAAUUUCAGUGUUGCCUCCUAAUUUAUUGAGAUUUUGAAUUCGGUUCUUUUUUUAAUUUUUGUUCUUGGAUUUUUUGUAAAAUUUUUAUUUAUUUUUCAAUUAUAUCAUUCAGUCCUAAUUUGUGAUAUGCUAUUUUUUUCGAUUUGCUAUUCAUUUUUUAUUGUUUUUUUUUUUAACAUUUUGUUAAAUCAAUUUUUCUUUUCAAUUUAACGAUUCAAUAAAAUGUUUUUACUUUUCCUCUAAUUUAUUUUUUGUUUCAAUUUUGAUCCUUAUUUUUUAAAUUGUUCUUUUGUUAAAUUAAUUUUUCUUUUUAAUUUUACCAUUGAUUUUAAAAAAUUUAGUUGUCCUCUAAUUUAUUUUUUAUUUCCUAUUGAUCAUUAUUCUUUUAAUUUCUUUUUUUUUUGUUUUAUAUCCUUUUGUAUGGUUUAUUGUGUUUUGUUUUGUUUUUUUAAUAUCAUUCAAUAUUUUAUGGGUUCUAUUUCAUCAUUCAAUCAAAAAAUAUUAGUUGUCAUAUAAUUUAAUUUUUUUUAUUUCAACGACUAUCUUUAUUUUGUUUAAUUUUUAAUUUUUUAAUUUUGGAUAUUUAUUUGUAGUUUAAUUUUUUUUUUUCAAUUUUAUCCUUUAAAAUUUGAUUAGUUAGGGGUUGUAUUUUGUGGUUUUGUUAGGUUGGGUGGUUCUAUUCUAAUGAUCUGAAUUACAUGUUUGAAAAGUUAAUGAGCACUACAAGAUUUCACAGUUUUACCGACGGAAAUAUUCUGUCGGUGUGUGACAGAACGUUCGUCGGUAAAGUAUUUACCGACUAUAUUACCGACGGAAUACUCCCGUCGGAAUACCUUUUGUCGGUGAUUCCACAUUCCGUCGCUAUAUCCGUCGGUAAUAAAAAAAAACACAUUUACCGACGGUUUUACCGACGGCCCGUGCGCGCCAAAAAAAAAAAGUUUCCCGCUUGGAAUAUACCGACGGAAUGUAUUCCGUCGGUGUUAUGUAAAUACCGACGGACUACCUCCGUCGGCAAAAGUGUCGGUGAUAUUUCAUACCGACCGAAUAAAUCCGUCUGUAAAUUCGUCGGUAUUUUUAUACCGACGGAUUAUUUCCGUCUGUGAAUAUGUCGGUAUUUUUAUACCGACAGAUUAUUUCCGUCGGUGAGUAUGUCGGUGAUGGGAUGGCAUACCUCAGACACUGUCCAAUGCCGACGGAUUUAUUCCGUCGGUAAAUCCCUGUGUAAUUUUUUUUUUAAUUAUUUAGAAAAAAUAAUAUAAAUUAAUAGUAAUACAAACCAAUUAUGCAAAUAAAAUUUAUAUUAAGCAACAAAAACUCAAAGUUAAAUAAUAUUCAUUACAAAAUGAAUGUGUUUAAAAAAAAACAAUUAAUAUAAAGGUGGAGGAGGAGGAGGAGGAGGAGGGUGGGGGUUAGGCGGCCAAAAAGGAUUAGGCGCACAUGUUCCGCCUUGUGUCAUGUUCAUGACCAUUUGACGAAGCUCUUCAUAGGCCGCUCUUUGUUGUUCAGACUCUGCUCUGCGUUGUUCGUCCGCGCCAAUCUGUGUUGUUCGUUCGCCAAUCUUUGCUCUUCUUUGAGUUGUGUGUACGCCUCUGAUAGGUGGUCGCACCUUUGCUGCAAGGCCACAAACUCCUUAGAUUGGGAGCUCGAUACAGAUUGGGAGCUCCCACCGGUUGAAGCAGUACCGGUCGACCGCAACUUGGCAGCGGUAGUGUUGGAGAGCCCGUAAACCCGAUUUUUAUCGGGUCCACCUGACGAUCCAGCCUCCAUCCACAAAUCCGGAUCGAAUUCCGGAUGGGUCGAAGGAUCAUCCCCGUAUCUCUCCCUCAACCGAUUAUUAUAGGUCUCCUGAAAAAAAAAAUCAUAUUCAAUUCAAUAAACAUAAUAAUAACUUACAAAAUAAAAUGGUUGAACAAACACACCACAAACUGUUGAGCACGGUUGUCAACGAACUGUUGCGUCCCCUUUUGGCGGUCAUGACUCCGCACGUGCGUCUCCACAAACAGCUCCAUAGGGCUCGGCUCACGUCCAAGAGACGUAGCCUAUAUAUAAUGAAAAAAAUGUAUUAACAACAAAUUAAUUGAACGAUAUAUUUCAUUUAAAUUAAUCUUACCAUCCGUUUCGCAUGUGCAGCAAACGGAACGGAGCCGCCGGUGUGCGUUGUAACCGAGCCAUGAAUUUGCCGAUUCCGGUUGCCGGCACCGGACUGUGAGCGUCGAGUGAACCGCUCAGACGUCACGUGCUGAAGAUAGUGCGGCCAUAUAUCUUCCGGGAUGUAUAUUGGUUUGAAAUCCCUCCAAACCGCAACAUCGUUCCAGCCUUGUAACCCCUUAUCCCUCGCUGUUUUUUUUGCUUUUUUCUGGGCGUCAUACCAAAAAUCACGCAACCUAAUUCACGCACGAAAAAAUUACAUUUCAAAACAUAAAUAAUUAUGUAAAAAAAAGUCGUAUUGUUUUCGAUGUUACCUAAUUGCCGCGUGAUUUUCCCACACCCUCCUCACAACACUGUCAUGUUCAUCGUCCCAGCAGAAUCGAUGCUGUAUAUAAAAAAAUAAUUUUUUAAAAUGUUAAUAAUUUAUUUACAAUUAUAACAUGAAUUUAUAAUUAGAAAUAAGCUGAAAAUUAUAUAUUAACACGAACCUCAAAUCUACGAAACCAUGCAUUGAUUUGAGGCAUCCAUUCAGGAUGUCUGGAUAUCUGACUCCAUUGAAACAAUGGAAUCUCCAUCGACGCUUUAAACGCCGAUGAUAUUAAUCGGGCGGCCUCAAUGUUUGUGAACUUGAAAAGAAAUGAAAUUAAUUUGUGAUUACUUCAUAAAUUAUGUUUUAAAUUUGUUUUUUUUAUAUAAAAAAAACUAAAACAUUAACAAACUUACAUUGAAAGAUCGUCCUUCCACUGUGCCUCGAACUGGCGGGUAAAUUGAUUCCGCUUCGAAGGCAUGCCGCGUCUGCGAUGUGAAACAUCGCUGGAAGAGGCAGCAUCGGUUGACGGCGCAGGUGGUGUAGGUGCCUCUUCUUCAGAGGCACCUAAGGAAACAUCAUCAUCGCUGCUAGACGAACUUGAUUCGACUGUACGACCAGCUCUGGUUUUCAUUUUGCGCAUCUAAACAAUUGUAAAAUAAAAUUCAAAAGUUAAAAAAAAAUCGGCAGCACCUCCCCUAUACUGGAUACUACCCAAAUCCACAAACCUGCAAAUAUUAACAAUAGCCACAACCAAUCGAACCAAUCUAUACUAAUUAUACUUCAACAAAUUAACAAUUACAAUUCAACAUUAACAAUUGUAAUUCAACAAAUUCAAAAAAAUUCAAAUAUUCAACUUUAACUAAUUCUAAGUUAAAUUAACUAAUAACAAUUCUAACACAACAAAACAAAAAAUAUUCAAUAAUUCAAGAAUUAAAUUCAAUUAUUCAACAAUUAAAUUAAACAAAUAUUCAACAAAUUCAAAAAAUUCAAAAAAUAUUCAAAAAAUUCAACUUUAACUAAUUCUAAUUAAAUUAACAAUAACAAUUCUAACACACAACAACAAAAAAAUAUUCAAUAAAUUCAACAAUUAAAUUCAAUUAUUCAACAAUUAAAUUAACAAAUAUUCAACAAAUUCAAAAAAUUCAAAAAUAUUCAAAAAAUUCAACUUAACUAAUUCUAAGUUAAAUUACCUAAUAACAAUUCCUAACAACACAACAACAAAAAAUAUUCAAUAAAUUCAACAAUUAAAUUCAAUUAUUCCACAAUUAAAUUAACAAAUAUUCAACAAAUUCAAAAAUUCAACUUUACUAAUUCUAGAGUUAAAUUAACUAAUAACAAUUCUAACAACACAACAACAAAAAAUAUUCAAUAAAUUCAACAAUUAAAUUCAAUUAUUCAACAAUUAAAUUAACAAAUAUUCAACAAAUUCAAAAAAUUCAAAAAUAUUCAAAAAAUUCAACUUUAACUAAUUCUAAGUUAAAUUACAUAAUAACAAUUCUAACAACCAACAACAAAAAAUAUUCAAUAAAUUCAACAAUUUAAAUUUCAAUUAUUCAAACAAUUAAAUUAAACAAAUAUCAACAAAAUUCAAAAAUUCAAAAAAUAUUCAAAAAAUUCAACUAACUAAUUCUAAGUUAAAUUACCUAAUAACAAUUCUAACAACACAACAACAAAAAAAUAUUCAAUAAAUUCAACAAUUAAAUUCAAUUAUUCAACAAUUAAAUUAACAAAUAUUCAACAAAUUAAAAAAUAUUCAAAAAAUUCAGGAAAAAAAAGGAACGAAAUAUACAUACCUUAAUAAUGUGUCAAAUUCAAAACUUUAUCUACAUUGCAACAAAACACCAACACAACAAAUAAAACAACUAAAAAUAAAAUAAAAUAAAAUAAAUUUAGAAAAAAAAACAUACCUUUUAAUAUAAUGAAGAUUUACAACACCAAAUCUUGCUAGAGAUUAAAGGUGAAAGUGUUUAAGGAUUGAGGGGGAAAAAUGAAAAAUCUAGGCUGAAAAACGGAGGAGAAGAGAAGAAGCGGCGGGGAGAAGAAGAAAAAAUGAGGCGAAGCGGCGGGGCUGGAACUUAUAGGUCAAUUUUACCGACGGAAUUAACAUCCGUCGGUAACAGGUCAAAAUUCCGUCGGUAAAAGGUCAAAAUUCCGUCGGUAUUUUUCGAAUUUCGCCCCGAAUUUUUAAAAGCCCUCCAAAAUUUUCGUAGUCCGUCGGUGAUUCUGUCGGUAAUCUGACAAGUUCAGAGGCGCAUUAAUUAACGCACUUUGGAAAACGCGCGGUCCGUCGGUAAUUCUGUCGGUAAUAUGUGUAACCGAAAAAUUACCGACGGACCUACGCCGUCGGUAAUCCCGUCGAUGGUGGUGUUAUGUUUACGAGCUUACUGUGAGAUGCCGACGGAUUUUAUUCCGUCGGUAUGGGCGUCGGUGAUUGUGGCAUUUUGUUGUAAAUAUUUUCGAACUCUCUAUGAGAUACCGACGGAUGGUGAUCCGUCGGUGAUUGUGGCAUUUUGUUGUAAAUAUUUUCGAGCUCUCUGUGAGAUACCGACGGAUGGUGAUCCGUCGGUAUGGCCGUCGGUGAUUGUGGCAUUUUGUCUUGAUUCAUUCUCAUUGCAUCCAUAACCAUGUUUCUGUAAGGAUUAGUGUUGUCAUUUGCCGCUUCAUGCACGUUGCUAGCACUAGAAGUUGACCCAACCACCGUUUCUCCCAUUCUCCUAUUACUAACAAAUACCUCUCCAUGUGCAUACCAACACUCGUAAUCCUCCACAAACCCUUUGUGUAGAAGAUGCAUCAUUACAACAUCUGGAUGCAGAUACUUUUUAUUUUGACACUUCCUGCAUGGACACCUAAUACCGCCUCCAGCAAAAUUUCUGGGAAUAGAUGUUGCAAAAUUAAUAAAACCCUGAACCCCGUUACAAUAAAUCCAUCCUCCGCAAUCCUUGGGGUGAAUCUAGAUACAUCCAUGAACGAUCAUCCAUGACUUCUAUCGAACCUCUAUAAAAAGGACCCAUUAAUUAAGCAAGCUCUUAAUUAUUUCAAAACACAACAUGUAAUUCGGUAAUUCUACAAAUUAAGUUUUAACAAUUUUCAAACAAAUACAAUCUUACAAAAUCUAAAACAAACCAUAACAAGUAUAAAAUUAUACAUUCAUAUACUACAAGUUUGUUUGAGAAAUAACAAUAAAACAUGUACAUCUACUAAAAAAUAAUAAUACAUAUACUAAAAAAACAAUAAAAUUAACAUUUAAAUGUUAAAAUUUUAAAAGAUAGAAUUACUUACAAAAAAUGAUAAAAUCCGUCGGUAAAUCAGAACACGGAUGCUGUGACCACAAAACAAAUACAACUUGUUGUUCUGAGAUGAGAAAGAUUUUGUUUUGGGGCGAGGGGGGGCUGGUUAUUUUGCAGAUGGGGAGGGUUAGGAUUAGGAAGAAGAAGGAGAAAUGGGGGAGGAGAGUGUCGGUAGAGGGGCCAUAUAUUCACUUUUGCCGACGGACUUACCGACGGUCUUUAUUCCGUCGGUGAAUCCGUCGGCAACACCGUCGGUCAUUCUGACGGGCAAUCGACACGUCACCGCACGGACCUGCUAUUCAAAUCCCUCGGUGAUUCCGUCAGUAUUUUUAACGGUGCACUCGUCACGUCACCGGUACGGAUCUGGCAUUUCAAAUCCGUCGGUGAUUCCGUCGGUAUUUUUUGACGGUGAAUAGGUCCCAUCACGAGUACGGGCCCCAGUUUUUAAUUCCGUCGGUGAUUCCGUCGGAAAAAUCACCCGCCAAAACCUCCGCGCCACUGCCCGCCCUUUUUUCAUUAAUUCUGAAUUUUUGGUCGGUAAUUCGGUCGGUAAGUACCGACGGACUAUGUCCGUCGGUGAUUUCGGCCGAACAAUACCGACAGAAAAGAUUCUGUCGGUAUGUCCGUUGGUAUUUAGCGAUUUUCUGGUAGUGGAGGUUAAUAUAUUUUUAUUUUUUUUAUAAAUCUACAUCUUGUAUUUAGAUUUAUAUAGUUUUUUUAUGUACUAUUUAUUAUUAUUUCUUAUCGUUAUUUAUCUUCUUUUUAGUAAAAAUCUUGUGAUUGUUUUGGGUUAUAAGAAGAUAUUAAUUAACAAUUAUUAAUAUUUUUUAAAUCUUAGAUAUGUAUUUAUUAUUAUACCUUUGAUUUUUUAAAAACAUGUUAUUUGGAAAAACAAAUCGAGACAUGGAUUAACAAAUAAAAUUUGUGAACUUCAUAACAAUUUUACAUAUUCUUUGGAGUUCUAUUUUUAACAAAACAAAAAUAAUAAUUAAAACAACACCCAUGUGCGGAGAAAUUUCUACAAGUCUAUUCGGGUGCUGUUUGUCGGCAACCUUAUGGCCACAACAAAAAAAAAAAAAACAAUUAUUGUUUUAAUCAAAACAAUUUUAUUUUAAAACUAGUCAGUGCAUACCUCAGAUAGAAAAGGAAGUGAUUUUUGUCCUCUCCGUAGGACAAGUGUGUCGUAUUCUCUGAGAAAUGAAUAAGAUUCUUUUCCAAAGUUUUCCGAACCACUUGUAAUCAUAUCCCUUAAAUACAAAAACCCAAAUAAAGAUGACGAACCUCUUAAUUCUCAAAUUUCUAACCAGCAAACCAUGACCACGAUAAAAAUAUAGUUUUUGCGUGAUGGGAACCUUCUCGUACCCAAUCCGACUAAGAAGAUAGGUUUUGAAUUCAUAUAUGUGAAUCUGAAUUAAUUUGAAAAAAUUAUUUUUAAAAAUUUUAAUAUUUAUAUAAAAAAAAAUUAAAAAAUAAUUUUUAUAAAUAUAAGUUAUAUAUAUUGUAAAUAAUAAAAUUUAAAAGAUUAUUUCAAAAAAAAAAUUAUCUCAUAUUGAAAAGAUAUUAUAUUAUCCUUUUAAGUUUAAAUAUUUAAAUUAAAAAGAUUUUUUUAUCCGAUAAUGAAAAAACAUAAUCUUUUUUUUUAACAUAAAAUAUAUAUAUUAAAAGAUUUUAAAUCCUAUUGAAAAAAUAACUUCUUUUUUUUAUGAAUAUAUAAUAAAUAUACUAAAGCACUUCAAAUACUAAAUUAAGAAAAUAAAAUAUUCUUCUAGUAUUUAUAUAGUGAACUUUGAAAAUAAUUAAUAACCAACUUAAAAAUAUAAAAAAAAAGGUAUCUCGAGGGUCGAACAAGUUUAACCGUUUUUUACUCUUGCCGAUCUUCUAUCUUAUCUGGAUUAAUUCAACCACCAAAUCAAUCGGGUCUUGGAUUGACCCAUUAAACCAAUCCAGGUUUAAUAACUAUAAUAUAACCCCCCUUAUAUAGACAUAUAUUUUGGAUUGUUUAAUAACCAAUCCAGGUUUAAUAAUUAUAAUGGAGUUGACUAACGAGGAAAGUGCUGGUGAGCUGCUUCAAGCUCAAACUCAUGUGUGGAAUAAUAUAUUCAGCUUCAUAAACUCCAUGACUCUGAAAUGUGCCGUUCAGCUAGGCAUACCAGAUGUGAUCCAAGAACAUGGCAAACCCAUGACCCUCUCGGAGCUUGUUUCUGCCCUACCAAUCCACCCAUCAAAAGCUCAAUAUGUCCACCGCCUUAUGCGUAUCCUCGUGCGCUCUGGUUUCUUUUCCCAGCAAAAUCAUAACCAGGAAGCCUAUUCCCUUACCCAAUCCGCUCGUCUCCUACUCAAGGACAAUCCCUGGAGUAUGAGACCUCUUUUACUUUUUGUGCUCGACCCAGUUCUGACAAAACCGCAUGAUUGCUUGAGCACUUGGUUCCAAAAUGAUGAAACCACCGCAUUUAGUGUUGCCCAUGCAAAGACACUUUGGGAGUACGCUGACCAAGAUCCAAGACUCAACAAUCUCUUUAAUGAAGCCAUGGCUAGUGAUAGCACACUGGCUAGUAAGUUGGUUGUAAGCAAAUGUAAAGGCAUCUUUGAGGGGGUGAGUUCCUUGGUGGAUGUCGGGGGAGGCUUAGGAACUAUGGCUCAGGGCAUCGCUGAAGCAUUUCCUCACAUGGACUGCACUGUGUUUGAUCUCCCCCAUGUGGUUUCUGACUUGCAAGGCUGCAAAAAUUUGAAGUAUGUAGGGGGGGAUAUGUUUCAGGCAGUUCCUCCAGCAGAAGCAAUUUUACUCAAGGUAAAUUAAUGUCAACAGUAUUCUUCUACAAACACUAUAUAUUAAAUUUGCACAUAUAUAUAUAUAUAUAUAUAAACAUCUUUUAUUAGUUUUUGUUUGAGAGGUGCUUACAUACCCACGGCCGCGCGUCGUUGAGCUUGUAUUUUGACACAUAUAUAAACUAUUCCAUUCCUGACCUCUGCGUACAGAUGCAUAUGAAGAUUUAUAUUCAAAAAUGGACAUCAUCUCUAACCCAAAACUCUAUACUACGGAGUUUUUAUAUACAUCCAUCUUAUGUUUUGUAUUUCCUUUAGGAUUUUUUUCCCGUCUUCAUUUAUUCACGCUACAUAUCUUAUGGCAAAUGACAAACAGUGGAUGCUGCAUGACUGGAGUGAUGAAGACUGCGUGAAAAUACUUAGACGAUGCAAACAAGCAAUUAUGAGUAAGGGACAGCAGAAAGCGGGGAAGGUGAUAAUUAUAGAUAUGGUGAGAGAGAACCUGAAUGGAGAAGAGGGGUCAAUUGAAACGCAGCUGUUUUUUGAUCUACACAUGAUGGUUGAGGCUGGUGGCAUGGAGAGAAAUGAAAAGGAGUGGGCUAAGCUCUUCUUUGAUGCUGGUUUCCUCAAUUAUAAGAUACACCCUGUGCUAGACACAAGAGCUCUCAUUGAGCUUUAUCCUUG